GAGCAGGAGGAGGAGGAGGAGGAACAUGAUCUAUAGACUGAUAUACAGUCAGUUAAUAAAGACGCCCCCUGGUGGACAUCAGGAGGAUACAGGUGUGAAAGACAAACAUGCUCUCCUCUUCGGCCCUGAUAAUCCAUCAGACCUUACAGGGCUUCCGUACAUUUAAACAUCCAACCUGCCUAAACCUCCUCGUCCUCACACUUACACAUGUUCCUGUUAUCACUCCAUCACAGCUGAGAUCUCCUCACUCUCUCAGGAAGUAUCUGAUCCCUCUCCAGCUGCCUGCUCAUCAUUGAUUCAGAGCUCUGAUGAUCAAUCCUUGAUUUCUCUGUAACUCGUGUUUUAUAUGACGAUAUGAAAUGUUCAUUUGAUUCAUGUUUGUCAGAUUUUUUAACUUUCCUUUACUGUGUUACAGACCUUCAUGUAUUUUACUCUUUAACUUUGCUGACUUGUAUUAUAACAGUUUGAAUCUGUCUUUCUGUCACUGUUACAUAAACACAGUCACUGAAUGUUCUUUAACAGUUCUCACACUGUUAUAUCUUCAGAAACUCUCGUUCUUAAAGUGCAUAUUUUAGAUUUUUGGUGGAUUUCUGGAUUUAAAUGUCGACAGAACAGAAACAUAGUUUGAAAAGUUAAAUGAAGUCAAAGUUUAAACUCACAGAAGCUGCCUGGUUGAUGAGCUGACUACCUCAAACACACGAUAUGAUGCUCUGCUGUCUGCAUUUAAUAAAUCUGUCUGCUUGAACUCAA